GACGAACGCUGGCGGCGUGCCUAAUACAUGCAAGUCGAGCGGACUCGAAGGGAGCUUGCUCCUUUAGGUUAGCGGCGGACGGGUGAGUAACACGUGGGCAACCUGCCCUGCAGACUGGGAUAACUUCGGGAAACCGGAGCUAAUACCGGAUAACACCGAAAACCGCAUGGUUUUCGGUUGAAAGGCGGCUUUUAGCUGUCACUGCAGGAUGGGCCCGCGGCGCAUUAGCUAGUUGGUGAGGUAACGGCUCACCAAGGCGACGAUGCGUAGCCGACCUGAGAGGGUGACCGGCCACACUGGGACUGAGACACGGCCCAGACUCCUACGGGAGGCAGCAGUAGGGAAUCUUCCGCAAUGGACGAAAGUCUGACGGAGCAACGCCGCGUGAGCGAAGAAGGUCUUCGGAUCGUAAAGCUCUGUUGUCAGGGAAGAACAAGUACCGUUCGAACAGGGCGGUACCUUGACGGUACCUGACGAGGAAGCCACGGCUAACUACGUGCCAGCAGCCGCGGUAAUACGUAGGUGGCAAGCGUUGUCCGGAAUUAUUGGGCGUAAAGCGCGCGCAGGCGGUUCCUUAAGUCUGAUGUGAAAUCUCGCGGCUCAACCGCGAGCGGCCAUUGGAAACUGGGGAACUUGAGUGCAGGAGAGGGGAGCGGAAUUCCACGUGUAGCGGUGAAAUGCGUAGAGAUGUGGAGGAACACCAGUGGCGAAGGCGGCUCUCUGGCCUGUAACUGACGCUGAG
rnacentral:rRNA from 1 species